rnacentral:rRNA from 1 species
AACGAACGCUGGCGGCAUGCCUAACACAUGCAAGUCGAACGAAGGCUUCGGCCUUAGUGGCGCACGGGUGCGUAACGCGUGGGAAUCUGCCCUUUGGUUCGGAAUAACAGCUGGAAACGGCUGCUAAUACCGGAUGAUGACGAAAGUCCAAAGAUUUAUCGCCAGAGGAUGAGCCCGCGUUGGAUUAGGUAGUUGGUGGGGUAAAGGCCUACCAAGCCGACGAUCCAUAGCUGGUCUGAGAGGAUGAUCAGCCACACUGGGACUGAGACACGGCCCAGCCUCCUACGGGAGGCAGCAGGGGGGAAUAUUGGACAAUGGGCGAAAGCCUGAUCCAGCAAUGCCGCGUGAGUGAUGAAGGCCCUAGGGUUGUAAAGCUCUUUUACCCGGGAAGAUAAUGACUGUACCGGGAGAAUAAGCACCGGCUAACUCUGUGCCAGCCGCCGCUGUAAUAC